rnacentral:rRNA from 1 species
GUAGGUGGCAAGCGUUGUCCGGAAUUAUUGGGCGUAAAGCGCGCGCAGGCGGUUCCUUAAGUCUGAUGUGAAAGCCCCCGGCUCAACCGGGGAGGGUCAUUGGAAACUGGGGAACUUGAGUGCAGAAGAGGAGAGCGGAAUUCCACGUGUAGCGGUGAAAUGCGUAGAGAUGUGGAGGAACACCAGUGGCGAAGGCGGCUCUCUGGUCUGUAACUGACGCUGAGGCGCGAAAGCGUGGGGAGCGAACAGGAUUAGAUACCCUGGUAGUCCACGCCGUAAACGAUGAGUGCUAAGUGUUAGAGGGUUUCCCGCCCUUUAGUGCUGCAGCAAACCGCAUUAAGCACUCCGCCUGGGAGUACGGCCGCAAGGCUG